AUAGAUAUGGUUUCGGAAGUGAAACACCAUCACAUCCUUCGAGGACUCCGCUUCAUCCAUCAAUGACACCCAUGAGAGAUCCUGGAGGUACAAUUGAGAAGUUGGAAACACUGCUUCUUGGGGGUCAAGUCCGGAAUAUCAGGUUUGUCUUGAAGAUUGACAAAGGAAGUUCAGGCAUGAACUAGGUUUAUCCCCUGUGUGCAUAGAAACGGGCAGAUUCGAGCAUGUGGGAUGCACGUGAAGGAGAC